rnacentral:rRNA from 1 species
UCCUACGGGAGGCAGCAGUGAGGAAUAUUGGUCAAUGGACGCAAGUCUGAACCAGCCAUCCCGCGUGAAGGAUGACUGCCCUAUGGGUUGUAAACUUCUUUUAUAUGCAAAUAAACCUACUUUCGUGAAAGUAGCUGAAGGUAGCAUAUGAAUAAACACCGGCUAACUCCGUGCCAGCAGCCGCGGUAAUACGGAGGGUGUAAGCGUUAUCCGGAUUUAUUGGGUUUAAAGGGUACGUAGGCGGUAAUAUAAGUCAGUGGUGAAAUUCUGCAGCUCAACUGUAGAACUGCCAUUGAAACUGUAUUACUUGAGUAUACUUGAGGUAGGCGGAAUGAGUAGUGUAGCGGUGAAAUGCUUAGAUAUUACUCAGAACACCGAUUGCGAAGGCAGCUUACUAAGGUAUAACUGACGCUGAUGUACGAAAGCGUGGGGAGCGAACAGGAUUAGAUACCCUGGUAGUCCACGCCGUAAACGAUGAUUACUCGCUGUUGGCGAUACACAGUCAGUGGCUAAGCGAAAGUUUUAAGUAAUCCACCUGGGGAGUACGCUCGCAAGAGUGAAACUCAAAGGAAUUGACGGA